AGAGUUUGAUCAUGGCUCAGAACGAACGCUGGCGGCAGGCCUAACACAUGCAAGUCGAACGCCCUCUUCGGAGGGAGUGGCAGACGGGUGAGUAACGCGUGGGAACCUUCCCUGUGGUACGGAAUAACUCAGAGAAAUUUGAGCUAAUACCGUAUACGCCCUUCGGGGGAAAGAUUUAUCGCCAUAGGAUGGGCCCGCGUCGGAUUAGCUAGUUGGUGAGGUAAUGGCUCACCAAGGCAACGAUCCGUAGCUGGUCUUAGAGGAUGAUCAGCCACACUGGGACUGAGACACGGCCCAGGCUCCUACGGGAGGCAGCAGUGGGGAAUAUUGGACAAUGGGCGCAAGCCUGAUCCAGCCAUGCCGCGUGAGUGACGAAGGCCUUAGGGUUGUAAAGCUCUUUUGGCGGGGACGAUAAUGACGGUACCCGCAGAAUAAGCCCCGGCUAACUUCGUGCCAGCAGCCGCGGUAAUACGAAGGGGGCUAGCGUUGUUCGGAAUUACUGGGCGUAAAGCGCACGUAGGCUGACUGGUCAGUUGGGGGUGAAAUCCCGGGGCUCAACCUCGGAACUGCCUUCAAUACUGCCAGUCUUGA
rnacentral:rRNA from 1 species